GCUCAGGGCGCCUUGGGUCCGUGGCGCCACCUGCUGUUCCCGCGGCGCCGGCGCAGUCUGCGAGGCCGUCCCAGCUCUUUCCACCCGAGCGCGAGGUAGACUCCGGGGCCACCCGCAGCACGCAGAGCUUCUGGGAGCCGGUGGCAAGGCCGAAUUGGGAUGCAAACCAAAUGGACGUGGGUGACUGGCAGAAAAAGCCUCCCACAAAUGGGAGGGAUUUCGGAGGGAACCGAAAGAAAGUUGGAAACCAAGUUACAGCUGAAGCCGGGGCCUUCUCCUACCCGACUCCCAUGGCCCAUUAAAACCUACGUGAGCUUAUCUGGUACCUUCAAGCCCUGUUUUGUGGCCCCAUCUCCUCUUCAGAUGGCAAUGUGCCUAGCUACACUACAUUUCCCGCCUCCCUUGCAGCUAGAGGUGGCCAAUGAGAUAUAAACAGAUGCUGUUAGACAUGAUGUCUAGAUCCCUAGCAGUCAUCCCAGGCCAUGAGAUAACUUUGAGAAGGAACACCAUGUACAAAGGACUGUGCAGAAGAGGGUUGGCAGGAGCCUGGAUCUCUGAUGACUUCACCCUUGACUGCCCACCUCACCAGGCUGUACAAGCCACUGUUACUGGCAGAUGAAUGCAAGUUCUAAAACAUACAACCACCGACCUACUGAAUUUUCCAAGGAGCACAUUUCCACUGGAGACAUUUGGUGCCUGCAGAAAAUACUUACUAAGGAAUUUCUAUGGGACCAGCCUGAAGUAGAAGCCACUGAAGAGAGGCCCUGAAGCAGCUUUUCUUCCUUAUCCCAGAGACCAACAUGGUUACCCCAGCCCAGAGUCACCCUCCUUACUCUAAGCUGUCAAAACCCUGGCUGCCUUUACAAUGAUUCUGACAAUGAAUCCCACCCUCCUGGUGAUGUCUAUUGCUUUACUGUUAAACUUUUUAAGGGUUAAAAUUCCUUUUUAUUUUUCUUUUUAAAUUGAUUAAUAAUAGUUGUACCAAUUUGGAUGGUACCUGUAAUAUUUUGAUACCUACAUACAAUGUGUGAUGAACAAAUCAGAGUAAUUGGGCUAGCCAUCACCUCACACAUUUAUCUAGGGCUGAAAUCCCUGAAGGACAGGAUUGUGUCUUACCAAUUGUGUAUUCUAAUCUGCAUUUACAUUUCAGAAAUUCUGGACUAGGUAGGCAAACCAACAGAAACUCUUGCUAUGAAGAUCUGGAGGUUUCCUGGAGGAAGUGGUGAAUAGGGCCUUGGGACUGAUGUUAAAAGCCCUGGAACACAAUAGGGAGACUCCUGAACUAGGAAGAGGUCAAAAGCUCUGGUAGCAGCCCCCACAAAUUAAGAAACCUACUCAGAGUAAAAGAAACAGGCCAUGGUGGGUGACCGGGGAGCAAGGAAUAGUUUUGAGUAACCCCAGAUGGUGGCAAUCAUUUAAUGCCCUCCAUCCCUCUCAGUGUAUAUUAGGUUAUGUUUUUUUUUUAGAAAAUGGAGGAAGGGUUUUACUAUGUUGCCUAGGCAAGUCUCAAACUCCUAGGCUCAAGCAAUUCACCUGCAUUGGCCUCCUAAAUUGCUGGGAUUACAGGCAUAAGCCACUGUGCCUGGCCCAAGAAGUCUGAGCCAGACGUUGCUGUAUAGGUCAGAACUCUGUGGGCUAUGAAUGUAAGAUAUUCACGAGUCACAUCUAUUCCAUUCAUUGACAAAUACUUACCUGAAACCAUACAGCAAAAGAGAUUCUGGAAAAUGUACCUUCCAGCCUUAGAAGAAAGUGAUGGUGGUGCCCAGUUGACCCCAGGCAAGCCAGCCCAGGAAUGCAGACAUUUUGGACUGCUCAUCUUUUACUACUUUGUGUGGCCUUUCACAGAAGAAUUACACAAGAACUUGACUCUUGAUUCCAAGGAUUCUGGAAGAAUGCCAACCAAACUGAAGUCUACAAGCCUAACCAUGUUUUGAAAAGGCUGGAUGUGACAUGGUGAAUCCUACUUAGAUGUGUUAACUAGAGUUAGGGUACCAGUGACAUGCAAGGGGUUGGCCAUUUGAUUAAGUAGAGGAGGCAUGAGUGAAAGCAGCACACCUCCACCCUGCUCAAUGGCCAUCAUCACCUAGCCAGGCUGUGAGCCUCCAUGGAGUGGGUAGCUGAGAACCCACAACCCACAAUAUAUCUUCUUUCUGGCCCUGUUAACAUGGACCUGCCUCUAUGAGGUGAUGGUUGAUAUCCAGCUAAGUAUGGCCCUCUUAAUAGUAAUGUGGGUGGCUUUAUUCAUAUUGGCUUCAUGAUAAAUGGUAUCACUGAGCUGACUUCUCUAUGUUUUAGAUAAAACAAAAAUAAAAGAAAAAAAAAAAAGAGAAAAAAAGCACAAUGACACAGGCAGUCUUGCUGCCAGACACAUCUGCAAUCAGAAAGCUUGGAAAAUUAGACUUGGAAAUGGCUUGAAAAAACCUUUAAACUUUUUCUGAAGAGCAAGUACAGGUUUGUCUCUGGGGUCAGUUCUAAUUCUUUGACCAGCUAAUUUUAAGUGGCUGUAUCUUGAAAAAAGUGACAGUGACAUUUUGGUACUCCAGCUGAACUUUUAGAUUAGUCACUGAUACAACUGCAACUUUUGGCCUAUUUGAAGGAUUUUAAGGGCAGGAUAAAAUAACAAAACCCAACAGUCUUAGCCUGAGUUUCCCAGAAAUCAGAGCCUGAGACAAAGGCUUGCCUUUUAAGAUUAUCUGAGAAUGUGAUCUUAGGUACCAAGAGUACAGGGUAGGGGAGUGAUCAGGGAAGGAGGGAAAGCUAAUGCAACAUGGAUUAUUACGUUGUCUACUACUAUGGACAAUUGUUCAUGUGGACUAUGCUGUGGACUACCAUAUGGACUACCGCUAUCACUAUGGAUACAAGUCCUGCUUGGAAUUUUUGGGGAGAUUUAUGGAAAGUACUAGAGAACUGUUUGUCCAGAGGACCAAAGAGGGAAACAUUUAUCCAUUGGCUCCAGGUCCCCAUUGGUCAAGGAUGACUUGGUUGCAUUUCUAAGUAAUGUAUGCUGAGCACAGAGCAGAUUCAAGUGGUUGCCCUGAGCUGCAGAUACCUCUGGGCAGGAAAUGAGAGGUACUCAGUGCAGACCUAGAGUGAGACCCGUGAUCUGAUUGCACCAGCAUAGAGAUGGUCAAAACCUAGGUGGAAGCAGUUUCUUCAGUUGUAACUGGAGAUAGAGGUGGGAUUGAGAGGAUUUUAAAAAGGGCCCCAGGAGGUAUCUAAAGCACCAAACAGUAAGUAUACAUUAACUGUGUUCUGGGUGUUGGGCACAGGCAUGGGAGGUAGAGCAGUGACAUGAUAAAGCCUUUACUCUUCCCCAAAUAUCUAUACUUUCUCUAAUAUAAAAACAUCUUAAGUAUAUGAAAAAUAUCACAUUUAUUAUAAAAUGUAAACUGCAAUGACAUCUGAGAGAGUUAUAUGUUGAAAUUUAAAUUCACAUUGAGAUGUAAAUGUUAGAUACAGGUAUUUUAUCCCAAAUAAGGCUUUACUAGGGGAAGGAGGAAGUGCACAAGAAUUCUGGGAGUCUGAUGUAGUUGUGAAUCAAAAUUUCCAAUCCUUAUAUAUAUUUUUAUUAUCAGCCUUGCUUUGCGUAGUGCCUAUAAUCGUGUGAGAACUUGCCCUGUAGCCCCCCAUGAGUGGCCCUUUUCCCUAGUCAUCCUUCCUUGGCUUUAGCCAUGAGAAGCCUGAUGUGAGGAGAGAACUCAGCAAAUAUUUAAGUAAAUAUUUAUGGAAUGACAUGAAUGAAUACAAAGUUAUAAAUAGAACAUUAUCUUAUUCUACUCCUGGACUAGAUGUACGACCAAACAAACUAGAAUAGAUUUUGCAUAGAUUAAAUUUCACCUUUCUGACCUCCCCAAGCAAGUGCUUCUCUGUUUUUUUCCAGACCACCAUGUAUAUUCAGUAGCUGUAGCCCUUAUUUUCUGUUUUAGUUAUUCAAAGCUUGCUGGAGUAUGAGCUCCUGAAGGGCUGGGGCCAUUUCUUAUUAAUCUUUCUGUUGUCAGUACUGAGCAAAGUCUAUGGUGCCUAGAAAUGUUUAAUUAAUGAGAAUCUGAAUCAAGACUAUAACCAUACAACCUCAAUAAUGCAAUUAAAAUGAAGAAUCUGUGGAAUAAAAUGACUGAAAAGCAUACCUUGGGAAUACAUCUCCCAGCUGAGAGACUAUAGGCAAGUCACUGAAUUUCUGUGUCUCAGUUUCUCCAAGUGAAAAAUGAGAGACCAAUCAGGGUUAGAGGAUAUAUGAUGUGCAUACUGUCACUCUGUUUUCUGUGUCUUGGUUGACAUUUCUAAUAAAUCAUGACUUUUUUUCACACUGA